rnacentral:rRNA from 1 species
CACGUAGGGCGCAAGCGUUGUCCGGAAUUAUUGGGCGUAAAGCGCACGUAGGCGGCUCGUUAAGUCGGAUGUGAAAUCCCUCGGCUCAACCGAGGAAGUGCAUCCGAAACUGGCGAGCUUGAGUACGGAAGAGGGUCUCGGAAUUCCCGGUGUAGAGGUGAAAUUCGUAGAUAUCGGGAGGAACACCAGUGGCGAAGGCGGAGACCUGGGCCGAUACUGACGCUGAGGUGCGAAAGCGUGGGGAGCAAACAGG